rnacentral:rRNA from 1 species
UACGUAGGGUGCGAGCGUUAAUCGGAAUUACUGGGCGUAAAGCGUGCGCAGGCGGUUAUGUAAGACAGAGGGGAAAUCCCCGGGCUCAACCUGGGAACUGCCUUUGUGACUGCAUGGCUAGAGUGCGGCAGAGGGGGAUGGAAUUCCGCGUGUAGCAGUGAAAUGCGUAGAUAUGCGGAGGAACACCGAUGGCGAAGGCAAUCCCCUGGGCCUGCACUGACGCUCAUGCACGAAAGCGUGGGGAGCAAACAGG